AACGAACGUUAGCGGCGCGCCUAACACAUGCAAGUCGCACGAGAAAGGGCUUCGGCCCCGGUACAGUGGCGCAUGGGUGAGUAACACGUGGGUAACCUGCCCUUGAGCGGGGGAUAACAUUCCGAAAGGAGUGCUAAUACCGCAUAAGACCACGCCUCCGAAAGGAGAAGCGGUCAAAGCUGGCCUCUAUAUAUAAGCUAGCACUCGAGGAUGGGCCCGCGGGGCAUCAGGAGUUGGUGAGGUAAUGGCUCACCAAGCCUAAGACGCCUAGCUGGUCUGAGAGGAUGAUCAGCCACACUGGAACUGAGACACGGUCCAGACUCCUACGGGAGGCAGCAGUGGGAAUCUCGCGCAAUGGGCGAAAGCCUGACGCAGCGACGCCGCGUGAGU
rnacentral:rRNA from 1 species